UGCAGGCUCCGCCUAUAAGGCGCGUGGCCUGCCGGUGAUAUAUAGCGUAGUUUUGUUCGCUGUAACGGACACGAAAGCGGCUAUAACGGAUAUCCAGCGCAGAUACGGAGUCGGGAUUAUUAAUAGUCACACAUCUGGUCAGUUCUUCAGCACUAGGAUGGUGAAGGAAACGCGAGCUGUGCACACUGUAAAAAGCUACUGUAAGAGGACUGAGCCACUGAAGAACUACUUAUUCAAACUUGGAAUCCAUCCCAGGAAGCACAUGGCAUGAGGCAGGGGACACCCUGGACUGGGCAGACACACACUGAGAGCUACUAAUUUAGCCCAUAAGAAGAAACCAGAGAACUAAGUGGGAAACCCACACAAGCACAGGAACAAACUUGAAAACUCCGCACACAUUGCCAGGGCAGGAAUCAAGCCCACAAUCCUGGAGGUGUAAGCCUUCAUAGCACCAUUUUGCCUUGCCUGAUGACAAAAUAAGUCAUUAAGGCAUCGUCAGGCGUGAGUGUUUGCGGUGGGCCGGGAAGGCCAGCUCCGAUAAGACUGGUGGACCGGAUGAUAGCAGGAACGAAGCGAAGGUGGACGGCACAUCGGAAGCUUGAUGAAUAUCGGGCCUGUCCUCAGUGUCAAUAUACUCACUAGGCAUGGAUAAGAAAGACAGGAUGGCAUGAAGUCAUGAAGAUUUCGCGGUAUAUGACUGCGCCGGAUACUUGGCGUCCGGUGACAGAAUGAUGAAAAAAGAGGGGAAGGUGUGAUGAGGAAAAGAAGAAAGGCAGACUUCAUGAAGAUCUGCAACAAGCUAAGAUGCUGGUGGUAAAGAUCAAUGAGGACGUAGUUCACAAUUCCCAUCCUGCUUAGAGGUCAGAUCCAGAAUGUCAAAACAAAAAAGAAUUUGAGCUUCCUGUCAGUCUCUUUUGGUUUCUCGUAUACCCUUGUUUUCUCCUCUCGCCCCCACCACCCCCCCCAUCCCGGUUUGUAACCUCUCAGGCAGAAUUCUGUUGCUGUGAGGCAGCUGGUCUAAGUGUGAACUCUGAAAACAUUGCAGCGUUCUUCAGCUCAUGCUGCGCGUGACUGUGGCCUGUUACAGAUUCCCACUGUUAUUGUCAAACCUAGCUAGGCCUGCGGCCCAGCUGAUGACAAGACCAUAAAUUCCCUCUGCUGUUUAACCUCAUUGUCAUUUCUAUAUCAUGAGAAAGUUUGAUGUUAGCACUGGGGAAGGGCAGUGAAGUUUUCAGAAGCACCGAGGGCAGCUUAUGGUAACUUAAGAGGCUAUAAUGAAUCAACUGCUUCGCUGACCUGGAUAUCUCCUGACUAAGCCUAGUGUUUGUCCAGAGAGACUUAACAAAGUAUACAAAACACUUAAAUAUUUUAAAGUAUACCCCUAUACCUGUCUUGUUUUUAUUGUCUUCAUUUUCUCCAUUUUGCACUAUGCCAUGCCAUUCAGCAGCUGUGUUCAUCUCCUGACAGCGGGGUACUUCUGGAAAUGAUAAGUAAUGGAAUGUUGUUAUUAUUUUCAGGAUUUAAUAAAUGGCAUAUUGGGUGCUUUGUUGCUCCAUGGGUCAUGACUUUACUCUCUAUCUUCAAGCUAUCCUUAUUUGUAUGUCACUUUGAACAAAAAAACAUCUGCUAAGUAAAUGUAAAGAGAUUGAUACUGCAUUCUCAGAACCAUGCAUUCUUAGUAUAAAUUUGUAUGUGCGAUCCAUAUUUUUCUAUAUUUUGGAGACUGUGGUCGACAUGCUCUUCAGAAACCCUAUAGGUACAUUAUGGUUGUUUAAGUAGGUGGUCCUGCAAAGACAGCUUACUGCAGUGUAGACCCUGGACGGCUUUCUUACUGACGUAAGAUAGAGCUGUACUGCUGCAUCCUGUGCGGUUCAAAAGCUGGUUAUGUGGUUGGUUGAAGAGUCUAAGAGUCGU